rnacentral:rRNA from 1 species
ACGUAGGAGGCGAGCGUUAUCCGGAUUUACUGGGUGUAAAGCGCGUGCAGGCGGUUCAGAAAGUUGGAUGUGAAAGCUCCUGGCUUAACUGGGAGAGGUCGUUCAAUACUUCUGGACUCGAGUAUGGAAGAGGGAGGUGGAAUUCCGGGUGUAGUGGUGAAAUGCGUAGAUAUCCGGAGGAACACCAGUGGCGAAAGCGGCCUCCUGGCCCAUUACUGACGCUCAGACGCGAAAGCUAGGGUAGCAAACGG